rnacentral:rRNA from 1 species
AACGAACGCUGGCGGCAUGCCUAACACAUGCAAGUCGAACGAGACCUUCGGGUCUAGUGGCGCACGGGUGCGUAACGCGUGGGAACCUGCCCUUAGGUUCGGAAUAACUCCCCGAAAGGGGUGCUAAUACCGGAUAAUGUCUUCGGACCAAAGAUUUAUCGCCUUUGGAUGGGCCCGCGUUGGAUUAGCUAGUUGGUAGGGUAAAAGCCUACCAAGGCGACGAUCCAUAGCUGGUCUGAGAGGAUGAUCAGCCACACUGGGACUGAGACACGGCCGAGACUCGUACGGGAGGCAGCAGUGGGGAAGCUGCCGUAAUGGGCGAAAGCGGGAUGUAGCACCGCCGCGUGAGUGAUGAAGGUGUUCGGAUCGUAAAACGUUGUUAUUAGGUGAGAACAUAUGGGUAAGUAACUGUGCACAUCGUGACGGUACAUAAUCAGAAAGCGACGGCUAACUACGUG